UACGAAGGGGGCUAGCGUUGCUCGGAAUCACUGGGCGUAAAGGGUGCGUAGGCGGGUCUUUAAGUCAGGGGGGAAAUCCUGGAGCUCAACUCCAGAACUGCCUUUGAUACUGAGGAUCUUGAGUUCGGGAGAGGUGAGUGGAACUGCGAGUGUAGAGGUGAAAUUCGUAGAUAUUCGCAAGAACACCAGUGGCGAAGGCGGCUCACUGGCCCGAUACUGACGCUGGGGCACGAAAGCGUGGGGAGCAAACAGG
rnacentral:rRNA from 1 species